rnacentral:piRNA from 1 species
UAUCAAGUUCUUCAUUGACUUCUCAGUGC